rnacentral:rRNA from 1 species
UACAGAGGUCCCAAGCGUUGUCCGGAUUUACUGGGCGUAAAGAGCGCGCAGGCGGCUGGUCAAGUCCGAUGUGAAAUCUCCCGGCUCAACUGGGAAACUGCAUCGGAAACUGAUCGGCUUGAAGGUGGGAGAGGGUAGUGGAAUUCCAGGUGUAGCGGUGAAAUGCGUAGAUAUCGGGAGGAACAUCAGUGGCGAAGGCGGCCUUCUGGUCCAGUACUGACACUCAAGUGCGAAAGCGUGGGGAGCAAACAGG